rnacentral:rRNA from 1 species
GUGGGGAAUUUUGGACAAUGGGCGCAAGCCUGAUCCAGCAAUGCCGCGUGAGUGAAGAAGGCCUUCGGGUUGUAAAGCUCUUUUGUCAGGGAAGAAACGGUAGGAGCUAAUAUCUCCUGCUAAUGACGGUACCUGAAGAAUAAGCACCGGCUAACUACGUGCCAGCAGCCGCGGUAAUACGUAGGGUGCAAGCGUUAAUCGGAAUUACUGGGCGUAAAGCGUGCGCAGGCGGUUUUGUAAGUUUGUCGUGAAAUCCCCGGGCUUAACCUGGGAAUUGCGAUGAAGACUGCAAGGCUAGAAUCUGGCAGAGGGGGGUAGAAUUCCACGUGUAGCAGUGAAAUGCGUAGAGAUGUGGAGGAACACCGAUGGCGAAGGCAGCCCCCUGGGUCAAGAUUGACGCUCAUGCACGAAAGCGUGGGGAGCAAACAGGAUUAGAAACCCCUGUAGUCC